GUCAACUAGCUGAGUCUGCCGGAUUUUCCACAAUGCAGCAUGAUCAAAAUUGAGAGUACUGAGUCUGCUAUCUGUGGUUGUCAACUUGCUAAGAAAGGUUCUGCAGAGCUGGAGGCAUUUACAAGAAACUGAGCAGAGACAGGUUCAGAGUGUCAGUGUGAGAGGGAGGCAGAAGGGAUGUGUGUCACUUGAAAGGAAUGGUCCUCGCCACUCCAUCACCUCCUCCUUUCCGUUGGUGAGACAUGGAGAUCAUGGUGGACCAUCUUCACGCAUGUAGACAAAGGCAACGUCCAAGGGGAAUAACCAGAAGAGGCAAACUGACAGGCUUGGAACUUUUUACUCUUGGACGAUUAUAUCAAUGAGAAAUAAAUUUACACUUUACA